rnacentral:rRNA from 1 species
GUGGGGAAUCUUGCGCAAUGGGCGAAAGCCUGACGCAGCCAUGCCGCGUGAAUGAUGAAGGUCUUAGGAUUGUAAAAUUCUUUCACCGGGGACGAUAAUGACGGUACCCGGAGAAGAAGCCCCGGCUAACUUCGUGCCAGCAGCCGCGGUAAUACGAAGGGGGCUAGCGUUGCUCGGAAUUACUGGGCGUAAAGGGCGCGUAGGCGGACAGUUUAGUCAGAGGUGAAAGCCCAGGGCUCAACCUUGGAAUUGCCUUUGAUACUGGCUGUCUUGAGUACGGGAGAGGUGAGUGGAACUCCGAGUGUAGAGGUGAAAUUCGUAGAUAUUCGGAAGCACACCAGUGGCGAAGGCGACUCACUGGCCCGUUACUGACGCUGAGGCGCGAAAGCGUGGGGAGCAAACAGGAUUAGAAACCCGAGUAGUCC